GUUGAACGCUGGCGGCAGGCCUAAUACAUGCAAGUCGAACGAGUGGCGGACGGGCGAGUAAUGUCUUGGAACGUGCGUGAUCUAGGGGGAUAAGUACUGUAACCGGUAGCUAAUACCGCUACCCAUCGUAUGUGCCCACAUGGGAUUAGCUAGUAGGUGGGGUAACGGCUCACCGAGGCGACGAUGCAUAGCUGGUCUGAGAGGAUGAACAGCCACACUGGAACUGAGACACGGUCCAGACUCCUACGGGAGGCAGCAGUGGGGAAUAUUGCGCAAUGGGCGCAAGCCGGAUGCAGCCAUGCCGCGUGUAUGAAGAAGGCCUUCGGGUUGUAAAGUACUUUCAGCAGGGAAGCGUUACCCGCAGAAGAAGCACCGGCUAACUCCGUGCCAGCAGCCGCGGUAAUUC
rnacentral:rRNA from 1 species